AUAUGUCGCAGCGUUGGCAGACAAACGCCGCAUCGAUGUUGAUUUGAGCGUGUAAACGCGUCGUAAUCGAAUCAGAAACGUCAAGGGAUUUUCCUUGGGUAAGGUCGAUACAGCCCUGGCAACAUUUUAAAAAGUAAGAGGUCACGUGACGUUUAAAAAGUAAAGGGGCCAUGCCGCCAUUCUGGAUUCUGAGCUUGGACGAGUUGGACGUGACACGGGAAACAGUGUGCUGUAUCGAACUUGCCGCGUUUCUAAAAGUAAUCCGUCUGCAUCAUCGCGAUCUUGCAUUGUUACAUUAAGUGUUGAUUGUAAUCUGAAUAAUCAAGAUACGAACUACACGAAGAGCCUAUUAUUUCCGCCCGCACGAUGAAUCCACCGCCACACCGAGAUGCCCGGCGGACCCCCCUCCCCGUUAUCAGAUGUGGGAUCAGAAGACGCCACCCCACGUGCUUCACACCACGACACGAACUACGAGAAAUGGCAGCAGCUUCUAGAACAACAGAAUCGGAAUUUCCUGACGCUUGUUCGAGCUAUGAAAACGCCGUCGUCGUCGUCCGAGCUGAGGUUACCUGAUUACGAUCCCAGUAAAUCCGAUGUCGACGCACGUUCUUGGAUGUCGACUGCGGACCUGUGCAUCAACGACGAGAAUCUGCAAGGCGCACGGCUUAUGGUGGCCUUGAGCCGCGCUCUGAAAGGUACGAGUGCCCAGAAAUACAGCUUCAUUCCUAAUUAAUUUGUGUGACAGUGAACCGAAAGAAAAUGAGUGCCUUGCUACUUAUGCUGCCUCGCUGAUGACUGCAAUCAUGUCACGCUGGAAGAACAUGAAUACCGAACAGCUUGCUUUGGCUACAGCGUUGGCACAUGUUUCCCGAUUUGACCGACGUGUCCAACGACUGGCUUUCACUACAGAAGUGACUACGCGCAACCAGCUUCAGUAAAAGCUCAAGGCUGUUUCGUUUCUAAAACGGAAAGUAGCUAAUAGCGAGGACUACCCCGAUAGUAAGAAAAUGCGCAGCUACAGUGCCUCCGUUUCCAUAAAGUGCAACUACUGUGGGAAAUUAGGGCACGAGUCCACGUUCUGCCUAAAAAGAAGACGUGGUUGGAGGAGACCAGAAGAGCGUUCCCCUUCCCAACCAAGCGACAAUUUCAAGAGGAUACCGCCUCCAUCUACAGCAAAGACUGCGGUCACUGGCUUCCACUGCCAGGGCCAGGGACACUUCGCAUCCAGCUGUCCAAAGCGUCGCAGAGAGGACCAGGAUGCUGCCAGUGGAGGAGCGAGUGGAUCCGGUGCAGCCAAGGAGAAGAGGGUCGAUCUAUGCGUAGUGAGCGCGCCUGCUGGGAUGUUGCAUUAAUCUGGUGAGCUGUUUUUGUUUAAAUAUGACUGUAGCUUCAAAGUUUAGAGGCUAGAUGUUUCAUUACGUGGAUGAGGUUAGUGUGACCGGUACUGUGGAAUUAUUUUCGAGGUUCGAGUCCUGGAACUGUUAAUCUGUCGGGUUGCCAGACCUGUUGACUUUCAAAAAAAGGUUAUGACAUUGAGGUUGAUCAAAUCCUGAGGUCCUGUUAAGCUAAGGUCAUUAGGGUUAUGGACAUGCGUCCAUGACCUCAUUAGGUAAAUGUCCGAAAGUUGAUUCCCUAUUUUUGAAUUAUGAUCUUUUUUUAUGCUAAGUAAUGAUGAAGCAAUCGAUUGAAUUGUGUGUUUCUGUGGUGUGUCUUGCUCAAUUGUUUAAUGCCACUGGAAUGACACCGGAUGGAGGUGUGCAUUCGUGAUGAGUACUUGGGUAACCGGAUGGAGGUUGCCGGACAAGUGAGCAAGGACCAUUGGUAAUCAGAUCCUGAUCCGUGUUUUUGUUUCGUACAGAGUUAAAGAUAGUGGAUUAACUUUCGAGUAGGUAUUGAUUUGUUUUGUCUGAUACCACUAGAUGAAGUGGUAGUAGACUGACGCCGGAUAGAGGUUGUGUUGAGUCACUAUCAGACGCCAGAGAGAGGUUGUCUUGGAUGAGAUUAUGAUUAAUUUAAGCUGUGUAUACAUUCUUCGAUUAUUUUUAACGUUAUUGCUGUUCCAUCAAUGGGUUUAAGCUGUUUUGAAAAUUUCCUUUUGAAACGUGUAACUAAUUGAACUUUGAUAUCCAAUUUUGAGAUUUAAUGACUUUUUGUCUGAUACUGUUCAAGUUAAAGCUUCAUAGUUCAUCAGUGUGAUGAAUGCAGAGUUCAUGAGCCCACUGCUUUCUUCCCUGACUAGGUCAGGACUGGCCGAGUAAAAUUCAGUUACUGCGGUUGUUUUUCUUUCUUUCCAGAUAACUCACACGAGGACGUGUGAGAUGUCAUGAUGGCCGUGUCGCAGCGUUGGCAGACAAACGCCGCAUCGAUGUUGAUUUGAGCGUGUAAACGCGUCGUAAUCGAAUCAGAAACGUCAAGGGAUUUUCCUUGGGUAAGGUCGAUACAGCCCUGGCAACAUUUUAAAAAGUAAGAGGUCACGUGACGUUUAAAAAGUAAAGGGGCCAUGCCGCCAUUCUGGAUUCUGAGCUUGGACGAGUUGGACGUGACACGGGAAACAGUGUGCUGUAUCGAACUUGCCGCGUUUCUAAAAGUAAUCCGUCUGCAUCAUCGCGAUCUUGCAUUGUUACAUUAAGUGUUGAUUGUAAUCUGAAUAAUCAAGAUACGAACUACA